GAUGAACGCUGGCUACAGGCUUAACACAUGCAAGUCGAGGGGAAACGACGGGGAAGCUUGCUUCCCCGGGCGUCGACCGGCGCACGGGUGAGUAACGCGUAUCCAACCUGCCUCUGACUGAGGGAUAACCCGUCGAAAGUCGGCCUAAUACCUCAUGGCAUCGUCUGCGGGCAUCCAACGACGAUUAAAGAUUUCAUCGGUCAGGGAUGGGGAUGCGUCUGAUUAGCUUGUUGGCGGGGUAACGGCCCACCAAGGCUACGAUCAGUAGGGGUUCUGAGAGGAAGGUCCCCCACAUUGGAACUGAGACACGGUCCAAACUCCUACGGGAGGCAGCAGUGAGGAAGAUUGGUCAAUGGGCGGGAGCCUGAACCAGCCAAGUAGCGUGCAGGAUGACGGCCCUAUGGGUUGUAAACUGCUUUUAUGCGGGGAUAAAGUGAGGGACGUGUCCUUCAUUGCAGGUACCGCAUGAAUAAGGACCGGCUAAUUCCG
rnacentral:rRNA from 1 species